rnacentral:rRNA from 1 species
UACGGAGGGUGCGAGCGUUGUCCGGAAUCACUGGGCGUAAAGGGCGCGUAGGCGGCCUGAUAAGUAGGGGGUGAAAUCUUGCGGCUUAACCGCAAGGCUGCCUUCUAAACUGUCAGGCUAGAGCACAGUAGAGGCAGGUGGAAUUCCCGGUGUAGCGGUGAAAUGCGCAGAUAUCAGGAAGAACACCCGUGGCUAAGGCGGUUCUCUAGUACGGUACUGACGCUGAGACGCGAAAGCGUGGGGAGCAAACAGG